GACGAACGCUGGCGGCAUGCCUAAUACAUGCAAGUCGAGCGAACAGAUGAAGUGCUUGCACUUCUGACGUUAGCGGCGAACGGGUGAGUAACACGUAAGGAAUCUACCUAUAAGCGGGGGAUAACAUUCGGAAACGGGUGCUAAUACCGCAUAAUAUCUUCUUCCGCAUGGAAGAAGAUUGAAAGACGGCUCUGCUGUCACUUAUAGAUGACCUUGCGGUGCAUUAGUUAGUUGGUGGGGUAAUGGCCUACCAAGACGAUGAUGCAUAGCCGACCAGAGAGGGUGAUCGGCCACAUUGGGACUGAGACACGGCCCAAACUCCUACGGGAGGCAGCAGUAGGGAAUCGUCCGCACUGGGCGAAAGCCCGACGGAGCAAUGCCGCGUGAGUGAAGAAGGCCUUCGGGUCGUAAAACUCUGUUAUAAGAGAAGAACAAAUUGUAGAGUAACUGCUACAGUCUUGACGGUAUCUUAUCAGAAAGCCACGGCUAACUACGUGCCAGCAGCCGCCGUAA
rnacentral:rRNA from 1 species